AGUGGGCCCCCCUGAGCCCCGGGCUGAGGCUCCGAGGUCAGCCCCACAGUUCAACCGUCCAGCCCAGCCCGCAGCAAGCUCUGGGUCCCAGGUCGCUCUCUCCCGGCUGCGCGCCUCUGAAACCUUUCCUCUGCCUCCCUCUAGUGGCCCCAAAGCGGAGGCACAGAAUCCGCGCCAGGUGAAAUGCAGGGAUCCGCAGGAGUCCUGGGCCGUGGGCCUGCAGCAGGUCAGCCCCACGCCGUCCUCGCAAUGCCCACUGCCGCUAUCUUCCCCUGGCCUGGUGGUAUCGCUGCGCAGGGUCAGUAACGAGGCACUGUACAGUCGCUGAGGACACGCAAGAAUCGCGGCCAGGCCAGGCAGUGGCGGCAGCACAGAUACCAUCUGGAAGUCAGCACCAGCCGUCUUUCCUAAGGCAAGGCUGGCCACGCCAUGGCGAGCGUUUUCUUCCUGGGAAUGCGGGUUCUGGGCCCGGAGGACCUGUCAGUUCUGCAGGCAUACGAAGACCGUGUGAGGACACACGGCCACGACCACACUUUCUGCCCCACUGAGCAGGGCCGGCUCUGCAGCACAAAUCCACCGCCCAGCGCCAGGUCGGCCGCGUUGGGGUUCACCUCAGCUCCUGCUGCUCCCGGCUGCAGGUGGGGAAGGGACAGCGGAGUCCCGGGGCUGCUGGGAAGCAAGAGGUUUGAGGCUCUGGCAGGGGGGACGGUCGCUGCCUCCGCUGCAUCUGUGUCCAGAGGGCUUCCAAAGCCAGCACUUGGUGGUGUGGAUCCCCCACGGAGGAGGGGGAGCCCAGUAGGUGCGAUAGAGUGCAGGGCUCAGCCCAGGCAGCCAUAGAUGAAGGAAAAGCACGCGUGGACAGAAAAAAGCACGAGAAGGGUGCAGCCCCGGGCACAAGGACAAUGCUGCGGUGCGGUCAACCAACACAGGUGAAGAAAGCUGACCAAUAUGAAGAAGAACUAGAAUUGGUCUUAUGAUCCCUACCCAUCCCACUUUUGAAGGAAGGCAGAAUGGUAAUGGGUGCCCACCCCUCCCUGGGAAGAGCCUCUGUAAUGUGGAGCUGCCCAAGGGAAAUGCUGAUACACAAAUGCUUCAGAUUGAAGAUCUACGUCCAGAAUGAACUGGCUUGGAAACCAAGGUUUCAUUGUGAUACUGUCGAUGAUUACACGUCUUUUGGGUUUACAUAAACAUCCUUGAAUUCCUGCACAUAGAUAGGUAGAAGGGAUAUCUACAAAGUGGUAUUCAUUAUAAAGUUCAGUACACACAUCCAGUAGAGACAAUGGCAAAAAGCUUUAUCAUCCAAACCAUAUAAAUAAUGUUUCCAUUAUUUAGAAGUUUUUCUUAUGCACAGAGCAGUCAUUGAUGUCAUCUUGUGAAUGUCUGCAUUUGUUAUUCUUCAGGACAGGACUGUGCUCUGGCAUUCUGAUAAUGCUGACUUACAUAAUUGGUAGAACUGUUCAAUCCCUUCCCCAUGGCAAAGGGGACAUGAUGCUAAUCUCCAGCCAGCAUUGACAGGGAAAUUUCGCUCCAAACACGUGCGGAUAUUCCUGGCACAUGCCAAACUCAGUCCCUGCGAAACUGCAGGGGACAGACAUAGGAAAGAACCAAAGCUCUGAGGCCAGGGUAAAUUUCCCAGCUGGGCCCUAGAAGUUGCUCAGCUCAAGUGGACGGGGAGGCACCCCGCACUCUCUGCCUUCUAGGGAGCUGAUGUUUGUCCCCAUCAAAGCCCAGCAUCUUCUCAGACCUGAUGGUUCCCGCAUAGAAUUAUUCUAUGUGUGUGCAGUGACUGACAGCAGAGAGGGUGACAGAGCUUUGAGAGGCCCUCCUGUCACCCUAAAGCUGCUGUCCUCUCCUCCUCCCCAGCACAGAACAUUUCAGGAACAGCAGCAGCCACAUAUGCCCAAGAAGUCCUGGAGACACCUGUGAGCAUCUGUGUAGUCUGCCCAGCCCAUGGCAGUAGCUACAACCACUGCCACCAUCAGCUACAGGACCAAGCCCAAAGUUCCACCCAGAGACCCAGAACACCAUGAUGACUUGAUAUUCCUGGAGCUCCGGAAACUUCUCUGAUGAUACAGGCAAAGAGGAAGAGACUGUGGUGUGAUGCUCAGGAAUCACCUGAGGCCCUGACUUUCUGUUGAGAGCCCUAAAGAGCCUACUGAGCCACUGCAUGUGGGACACACAAGUGGGGCUGUAUUGGGACUUGCAAGAAGCAGGUAGCAAGACAAAGGAAGAGGCUUCCAAAUCGCUGGCUAGGUCAGCUUUGUGGACAUAUUUGGUUGGAGACCUGUGACAGCUGGGAGCCAGGGGACCCAGCCACAUUCCAGGAGGAUGUGCCGUUCUCCUCCUUCCAUGCUGUCUUUCCCCCCUGUUAAGUUAUUAUUCUGAGUUGUUUACUUUCCAAGAUGCAAACUUUAAUAUCUUCUUUUAAACUUAGUCCUUCCACAACAGGUAGGAGGAGGCUGAAUGAGCCUGGAGACCACAGUCUGCACCCUCUCAGUGUGCAGGGAGCUCUCGGGAGGACGGACACUGGGACAGGUGUUCCUGGUACCUCUUUUCUCAAGCACUUGCACUGCUGCUCCCCCCCCCCACCCACCAUUUUAUUCUGUCUGGAAAGAUGAAAACAGAAACAGCAUAUUGAUCUCCUCUGAUGAUAUUUCCAGGCUUUAUUUAAAUCAUACAUUUCCUCAGAAAGAUGAUUUUUGCCUUCUGCACAGGUUACUUUUGAAGAAUAAAAUCCAACAGAUGUUA